CUUCCCGGUCUGGGGCCAGAUGCCGAAGAUCCAGAGGUGGUUCCUAAGCCCUUGGAGAUGCAUAAUAACUUGAAGGCAUUUUUUUCAAAUGCACGCCAAUCCACUGGGUCAGAGACCGUCUGAGGAGAUGACAGCAGAUAAGGGGAGUCAGCCACAUUCUGGAAGCUGGAAAGCAGAUGGUGAGUGGAGAUUGACUUAAGAAACCUGAGAAGUUGAAACCUGACUAUUCGAGGGGAGGCGGGGUGGGGCGGGGAACCAUGAGGACAUGAGACAAUUUAAGCUCCUGUGAACGUCUCAGGGGUUGGAAGCCCCAGCGAUCUCCAAAGAGCGGUGCAGAGCAGAGUGAGAAGCAGAAGGGCUGCUCGGUAACCAUCCGUGGACAACUGGACUUCUGGGUGUCCUAGCCCAGCUGGCACAGGCAGGACAUGACCUCUCCCCACUGGAGCAGGUGGGGGGUCCCUCUCGCAGGAGGCAGGACGAUGAUCUGAGAGAAUGUUCACGCCAGGCUCAGCACUGGGCUUGGAAUAUAGCAGGUCCUUGAUGUGAAGGCCUGCACUCCAGCAGCCAUCUUGGACAAUGAGGAUAAGGACCACCUGCUAAGGAUGGCAGAGCAGAGAGAUGGAAGGAGCCAUCUUCAUGGAGUUGCCAUACCUGCAUUGCCCACAUUUGGACUUCUUUCAUGUGACGUACAAACCAACUUCUUUCUUGUUUUGGCUGCUAUAAUUUUAGGAUUUUCUGUUGUGUGCAUAUGAUCCUAAUCCUGUAAACUUGAGUUGGGGACAACCACUCCAUCGUUGUUGUUCUCUUUCCUAUUCAGAGAUCCUAGAAGAUGAGAAUCAGUGGAGACCUUAGCUCAGGGGCAAAAUCUGGUCCACAGAUGUUUUCUUUAGCUCAUACAAAGUUUUAAAAAUCAGGAGAUAUUUGGACAUAUUUUCAACACUAAAAUUGCAUUUUCUGGCUUUUCUUGAAUAGUUGGGGGAUCUGGCAAUACUAGAUUCAUUCAGCAUGGCAGCAUUUAGAUGAGACACCUGCUCCUUCAUUGCAAAAUCCCCCACUCCUAUUGCUAAUAUAUAUAAAAUAUCUAUA